UACGUAGGGGGCAAGCGUUGUCCGGAUUUAUUGGGCGUAAAGAGCGUGUAGGCGGCUUUACAGGUCCGUUGUGAAAACUCGAGGCUCAACCUCGAGACGCCGGUGGAAACCGUAAGGCUAGAGUCCGGAAGAGGAGAGUGGAAUUCCUGGUGUAGCGGUGAAAUGCGCAGAUAUCAGGAAGAACACCCGUGGCGAAGGCGGCAUCCUGGACCGGCACUGACGCUGAGGAGCGAAAGCCAGGGGAGCAAACGGG
rnacentral:rRNA from 1 species